rnacentral:rRNA from 1 species
UACGUAGGGUGCGAGCGUUGUCCGGAUUUAUUGGGCGUAAAGAGCUCGUAGGCGGCUUGGCAAGUCGGGUGUGAAAACUCCAGGCUCAACCUGGAGACGCCACCCGAUACUGCCAUGGCUUGAGUCCGGUAGGGGACCACGGAAUUCCUGGUGUAGCGGUGAAAUGCGCAGAUAUCAGGAGGAACACCGGUGGCGAAGGCGGUGGUCUGGGCCGGUACUGACGCUGAGGAGCGAAAGCGUGGGGAGCGAACAGG